rnacentral:rRNA from 1 species
GGUUGAUCCUGCCAGUAGUGAUACGCUGUCAUUAAGGACUAAGCCAUGCAUGUGUAAGUAUAAGAACUACACGAGACUGCGAAUGGCUCAUUAUAUCAGUUAUAGUUUAUUUGAUAGUCCCUUGCUACUUGGAUAACCGUAGUAAUUCUAGAGCUAAUACAUGCAUCAAGAUCCAACUUUGGAAGGAUCGUAUUUAUUAGGUUACAAAACCAACCCUCCCUCGGGAGGUUGUUUGGGUGAGUCAUGAUAAGCAUGCAGAUCGCAGGGCUUUAUGCUGGCGAUGGAUCAUGUAA